GUGAAUCAUCGAAUCUUUGAACGCAUAUUGCACUAUCUGGUAUUCCAGAGAGUAUGCCUAUUUGAGGGUCAUUUGAAAUAAUAUAAAUUUCGAGAUUUUCUUGAAAUCAAAAAUGGGUCGGUCCAGCUUUCGUGUGGUGGUCGCCGAAAAUGCAAGACAAGCUCAUGUCUUGGGGUGCGGUAUAGAUUCAGUUACCUCGUGACAUCCCGAGAAAUCUUCGAGCGUG
rnacentral:misc_RNA from 1 species